CAGAAUAUGGUGUAUUGGGUAGCAAAAAGAAUUUUGAUUUCUUAGGAUUAGGUUCAAUUCCUAUCAUUCUAC
rnacentral:tRNA from 1 species